AGCUCAGUUGGUUAGAGUCCCGAGAACUCGGGAUUAAUCAGGGGGUCCUAGGUUCAAGUCCUAGAAGGG
rnacentral:tRNA from 1 species